rnacentral:rRNA from 1 species
AACGCGAAGAACCUUACCUGGGUUUGACAUGCACAGGACGCGUCUAGAGAUAGGCGUUCCCUUGUGGCCUGUGUGCAGGUGGUGCAUGGCUGUCGUCAGCUCGUGUCGUGAGAUGUUGGGUUAAGUCCCGCAACGAGCGCAACCCUUGUCUCAUGUUGCCAGCGGGUAAUGCCGGGGACUCGUGAGAGACUGCCGGGGUCAACUCGGAGGAAGGUGGGGAUGACGUCAAGUCAUCAUGCCCCUUAUGUCCAGGGCUUCACACAUGCUACAAUGGCCGGUACAAAGGGCUGCGAUGCCGCAAGGUUAAGCGAAUCCUUUUAAAGCCGGUCUCAGUUCGGAUCGGGGUCUGCAACUCGACCCCGUGAAGUCGGAGUCGCUAGUAAUCGCAGAUCAGCAACGCUGCGGUGAAUACGUUCCCGGGCCUUGUACACACCGAUAGC